rnacentral:rRNA from 1 species
UCCUUGAAAUACCACCCUUUAAUGGCUGGUGUUCUAACGUGGGCCCGUGAUCCGGGUUGCGGACAGUGUCUGGUGGGUAGUUUGACUGGGGCGGUCUCCUCCUAAAGAGUAACGGAGGAGCACGAAGGUCAGCUAAUCCUGGUCGGACAUCAGGAGGUUAGUGCAAUGGCAUAAGCUGGCUUGACUGCGAGCGUGACGGCGCGAGCAGGUGCGAAAGCAGGUCAUAGUGAUCCGGUGGUUCUGAAUGGAAGGGCCAUCGCUCAACGGAUAAAAGGUACUCCGGGGAUAACAGGCUGAUACCGCCCAAGAGUUCAUAUCGACGGCGGUGUUUGGCACCUCGAUGUCGGCUCAUCACAUCCUGGGGCUGAAGUAGGUCCCAAGGGUAUGGCUGUUCGCCAUUUAAAGUGGUACGCGAGCUGGGUUUAGAACGUCGUGAGACAGUUCGGUCCCUAUCUGCCGUGGGCGCUGGAGAAUUGAGGGGGGCUGCUCCUAGUACGAGAGGACCGGAGUGGACGCAUCACUGGUGUUCGGGUUGUCAUGCCAAUGGCAUUGCCCGGUAGCUAAAUGCGGAAGAGAUAAGUGCUGAAAGCAUCUAAGCACGAAACUUGCCCCGAGAUGAGUUCUCCCUGACUCCUUGAGAGUCCUGAAGGAACGUUGAAGACGACGACGUUGAUAGGCCGGGUGUGUAAGCGCAGCGAUGCGUUGAGCUAACCGGUACUAAUGAACCGUGAGGCUUAACCUUAC